GAGGAAUAUUGGACAAUGGAGGAAACUCUGAUCCAGCCAUGCCGCGUGCAGGAUGAAUGCCCUAUGGGUUGUAAACUGCUUUUAUACAGGAAGAAACAUUUCCACGUGUGGAAACUUGACGGUACUGUAAGAAUAAGGAUCGGCUAACUCCGUGCCAGCAGCCGCGGUAAUACGGAGGAUCCAAGCGUUAUCCGGAAUUAUUGGGUUUAAAGGGUCCGUAGGUGGUUAUUUAAGUCAGAGGUGAAAUCCUGCCGCUUAACGGUAGAACUGCCUUUGAUACUGAUUAACUUGAGUUAUUGUGAAGUAGUUAGAAUAUGUAGUGUAGCGGUGAAAUGCAUAGAUAUUACAUAGAAUACCGAUUGCGAAGGCAGAUUACUAACAAUAUACUGACACUGAGGGACGAAAGCGUGGGUAGCGAACAGG
rnacentral:rRNA from 1 species